NUUGUGAUUAUCACUGGGGGAGAGGGGGGAUGAUAGCAAUGAGAGACAUGGGUAGCAGAAGAGGAGGUGAUAUGAGGCAGCCAGUAGAUCAACAUAUGUGAAAGGAGUUAUCAAAGGGGGCAAAAAGGUUUAAGAGUUUUUUUCCCUUUAAUUAGAUAGGGAGAAUGGUGCAUUGGAGAUUUAAGCAAAUUUUAAUACUCACACGAGCAUUAUAUGAGAUUUUUGUUGAAAUUCAGUCAACGGAGAUUGACAUUGAUAUCCCAUUGGAUCGAUUUGCUAACCGAAAAAGAAUGAACUAAAAAUUUUUAUAUAUGAAAGGAUGAUAGUGCAACUCGGACAAAAGUUGAGGAAGUCAAAAUACUAUUUUCCCUAUAAUUAAUUUUUUUUUGAGCAUGAGCAAGACAUGCUUACAUAUUCUAUCAUCAAAUGAGAGAGACAAAUGACUUCACAAUAAGCAGGACCUAUGCAAGACAAUUCACUUCAGACUUCAUGGCAUUUGUCUAAAUCAAAGAGGGAAAAAACAUUAUAGACCUCAUCGCAUUAAGUGGUCCCUCGAAUAGCACGGGCUGUCUUGCAGUUGCAUUCUUGAAGCUAGCAAGAGACUAUGGUAAAUAAACCAUGGGAUAUUUGGCUUGAUUUCAUGCCAUUCUUUUUAACCUCUCAACCCCAUAGGGUUGGACCACCGACAAGGUCAGCUGAACUUAGCACUGAGCCUAAGAUCCCAGGACCACAUACAGAUAAGACCCAUUCAACGGACACUUGGGAGCACCUAACUAAUAUCAAACUCCCCCACAGUGGUCCAAACCCUCAACAUGCACUCCAUCGAUUUGAUCGAAUGGCGGUAUAUGGCGAUAUCCGGUGCACCAACAAUGCACUAAAUAAAUGCACCAUCGGUUAGGAUUAGUUAGAACAUUAGCACUAAUAUAAGAUUGGAAGGUUCGGCGUCACGAAAUGCAUCAUCUAAGACUACUAUAAUAGUACUUGGUUGAUCAUUCGAUGCGAU
rnacentral:lncRNA from 1 species